rnacentral:rRNA from 1 species
GGUUAAUAUUCCCGUACUUGGUGUUACUGCGAAGGGGGGACGGAGAAGGCUAUGUUGGCCGGGCGACGGUUGUCCCGGUUUAAGCGUGUAGGCUGGUUUUCCAGGCAAAUCCGGAAAAUCAAGGCUGAGGCGUGACGACGAGGCACUACGGUGCUGAAGCAACAAAUGCCCUGCUUCCAGGAAAAGCCUCUAAGCAUCAGGUAACAUCAAAUCGUACCCCAAACCGACACAGGUGGUCAGGUAGAGAAUACCAAGGCGCUUGAGAGAACUCGGGUGAAGGAACUAGGCAAAAUGGUGCCGUAACUUCGGGAGAAGGCACGCUGACACGUAGGUGAAGUGAUUUACUCAUGGAGCUGAAGUCAGUCGAAGAUACCAGCUGGCUGCAACUGUUUAUUAAAAACACAGCACUGUGCAAACACGAAAGUGGACGUAUACGGUGUGACGCCUGCCCGGUGCCGGAAGGUUAAUUGAUGGGGUCAGCGCAAGCGAAGCUCCUGAUCGAAGCCCCGGUAAACGGCGGCCGUAACUAUAACGGUCCUAAGGUAGCGAAAUUCCUUGUCGGGUAAGUUCCGACCUGCACGAAUGGCGUAAUGAUGGCCAGGCUGUCUCCACCCGAGACUCAGUGAAAUUGAACUCGCUGUGAAGAUGCAGUGUACCCGCGGCAAGACGGAAAGACCCCGUGAACCUUUACUAUAGCUUGACACUGAACAUUGAGCCUUGAUGUGUAGGAUAGGUGGGAGGCUUUGAAGCGUGGACGCCAGUCUGCGUGGAGCCGACCUUGAAAUACCACCCUUUAAUGUUUGAUGUUCUAACGUGGACCCGUAAUCCGGGUUGCGGACAGUGUCUGGUGGGUAGUUUGACUGGGGCGGUCUCCUCCUAAAGAGUAACGGAGGAGCACGAAGGUUGGCUAAUCCUGGUCGGACAUCAGGAGGUUAGUGCAAUGGCAUAAGCCAGCUUGACUGCGAGCGUGACGGCGCGAGCAGGUGCGAAAGCAGGUCAUAGUGAUCCGGUGGUUCUGAAUGGAAGGGCCAUCGCUCAACGGAUAAAAGGUACUCCGGGGAUAACAGGCUGAUACCGCCCAAGAGUUCAUAUCGACGGCGGUGUUUGGCACCUCGAUGUCGGCUCAUCACAUCCUGGGGCUGAAGUAGGUCCCAAGGGUAUGGCUGUUCGCCAUUUAAAGUGGUACGCGAGCUGGGUUUAGAACGUCGUGAGACAGUUCGGUCCCUAUCUGCCGUGGGCGCUGGAGAACUGAGGGGGGCUGCUCCUAGUACGAGAGGACCGGAGUGGACGCAUCACUGGUGUUCGGGUUGUCAUGCCAAUGGCACU